GACGAACGCUGGCGGCGUGCUUAACACAUGCAAGUCGAACGAAAAGGCCCUGCUCUUGUGGGGUGCUCGAGUGGCGAACGGGGGAGUAAAACGUGAGUAACCUGCCCUUGACUUUGGGGUAACUUCAGGGAAAUGGGGCGAAUACCGGAUAGGAGCUCCUGCUGCAUGGGGGGGGUUGGAAAGUUUCGGCGGUUGUGUAUGGACUCGCGGCUUAUCAGCUUGUUGGUGGGGUAGUGGAGUACCAAGGCUUUGACGGGUAGCCGGCCUUGGAGGGUGACCGGGCACCUUGCGACUGCGAUACGGCCCAGACUCCUACGGGACGCAGCAGUGGGGAAUAUUGCACAAUGGGCGCACGCGUGAUGCAGAAGCGCCGCGUGCGUGAUGCCGGCUUUCGGGUUGUAAACCGCUUUCGCCUGUGACGAAGCGUGAGUGACGGUAAUGGGUAAAGAAGCCCCGGCUAACUACGUG
rnacentral:rRNA from 1 species